rfam:Eubacterium sp. 68-3-10 unitig_0:quiver, whole genome shotgun sequence.
UGGGCAGGCCAGACAAUCGCGUGCACAGCAUGAGGAAAGUCCGGGCUCCGCAGGGCAGGGAUGCCGUGAUAACGUCCGGCGUAGGUAACUAUAGGGAAAGUGCAACAGAAACACACCGCCGAAACGGGUCAUGCCGUGGUAAGGUUGAAAUGGUGAGGUAAGAGCUCACCGGCGUCAUGGAGACAUGGCGGCCGUGUAAACCCCAUCCGGAGCAAGGUCGGAGGGCAGUAUGGUGGCGGCCCGUCACCGCCCGAAAGGUGGACCGCAUGAGCGCGCAGAGAUGCAGCGCCUUAGAUAGAUGAUUGUCGAAUACAGAACCCGGCUUACAGACCUGCCCAUUUU